rnacentral:rRNA from 1 species
UACGGAGGGUGCAAGCGUUAUCCGGAUUCACUGGGUUUAAAGGGUGUGUAGGUGGCGCCGUAAGUCGGGUGUGAAAUCUCGGGGCUUAACUCCGAAACUGCAUUCGAUACUGCGGUGCUUGAGGACUGGAGAGGAGACUGGAAUUCAUGGUGUAGCAGUGAAAUGCGUAGAGAUCAUGAGGAAGACCAGUGGCGAAGGCGGGUCUCUGGACAGUUCCUGACACUGAGACACGAAGGCCAGGGGAGCAAACGGG